GGGGGCGUAGCUCAAUUGGUCAGAGUCCAUGAUUGUCGAUCGUGUGGUUGCGGGUUCAAGUCCCGUCGUCCUCG
rnacentral:tRNA from 1 species